CUUAGCUCAGUUGGUAGAGCAAUGGACUGAAAAUCCAUGUGUCCCCGGUUCGAAUCCGGG
rnacentral:tRNA from 1 species